rnacentral:misc_RNA from 1 species
ACACAAUGAUUUAAUUAAACUUUUACUGCGUAAUGGAGGAGACAUUUCAAAUAUCAAAAACGGAGGAGGUCCUCUUUUCUCUGCCUGUAAAAAUGGACUUUAUGAAAUUGUUCAACGUUUACUGGAAAAUGGAGCAGAUAUAAAUCAAUGUGACGGAAAUGGUUUGAGUCCUCUUUCUAUAGCUUGUCAGAAGAAAGAGGAUGAAAUUGUACAAUACUUACUGAGAAAUUCAGCAGACAUCAAUUUAUGUUCGAAAAACGGAAGAAGUCCUCUAUAUGUUGCCUGUGAAUUUGGAAAUGAAAGCGCUGUACAGAUUUUAUUAAGAAAUAGUGCAGACGUCAAUCGUUGCAAUGAAGAAAAUUCAAGUCCUCUUUAUAUUGCUUGUCAACAAGGACAGAAAAACAUUGUUAACCUUUUACUGAUGAAUGGGGCAGACACUAGCUUAUGCAGAAAUGAUGGGAGAAGUUCCCUUGUAACAUCUUGUCAAAAGGGAUAUCAUGACAUUGUGCAACUUUUGCUGGAAAAAGGAGCAGACAUUAACCUAUGCAUGGAUGAUAGACGUUCACCUCUUUACAUUGCAUGCAGUGAGGGAAAUGACAAAAUUGUUGAUCGUUUACUGCGUCAUAAAGCAGACAUUAAUUUAUGUUUGAAAAAUGGAGAAAGUCCCCUUUAUGUCGCCUGUAAAAAAGGAUAUAAUGACAUUGUAAAUAAUUUACUAAAAAAUGGAGCAGACAUUGGCUUAUGCAUGAAAAAUGAAUCAUGUCCUUUUUACAUCGCUUGUCAAGAGGGGCAUUUUGACAUUGUAAAACUGUUACUGAGUAAAGAUGCUGACCUUCAUCUACGCAAAAGAAACGGAGAAAGUCCUCUCAUAGCAGCUUGUCGAAAUGGACAUUACAAAAUCGUGGAAUAUUUGUUUGAUAAGGGCGCAGAAAUAAACAUAUGUUUGGAAUCUGGAGCUAGUCUUCUUUCAAUUGCUUGCGAAAAAGGACAUGCUAAUUUUGUUCAAUGGCUAUUGCAUAGGAAAGCAAACAUUAACUUAUGUUUGAAAAACAGCAAAUAUUGUCCUUUGUAUAUUGCUUGUAAAAAUGGAAACAAAAAAAUUGUAGAAUUAUUACUAAAUAAUGGAGCAAAUGUUAAUUUAUGUAUCGACGAGGACGGAUCAUGCCCUCUCCACAUAGCUUGUCAAAAGGGACAUUACAGCAUUGUUACCAUUUUGCUGAAUAAUAAAGCAGAUAUUAAUCAACGUAAGAAAAACGGAGAAACGCCUCUUUACGAAGCUUCUAGAGAAGGUCACGCUCAAGUAGUAAAAUAUUUAUUAACAAACGGUGCGGACAUUAACUUAUGCAAUGAAAACGGGACUAGUCCUUACGAUAUAGCGAGCCAAAAUGGAAAUGGAUACGUUACAAAAAUGUUUGAGGAUAAUAGUGCUGUCAAAAAACUUUGAACAACGGAUUAAGUUCUCUAAAUCUAUUGGUGAUAGAAGCAAGAUUGACAAGUAUAAAUUUUACUUUGAAAUGGAACAGAGAUUUAUGUCCGCUUCGACAACGGAGCCAGUCUUUUUAUAAUAUUUCAUCAAAUGUACAUAAUAUCAUUGAACAUUUUCAAUAAGAAUUAGUAAAUGCAAUCACAUCUGUUUAAACAAUGAAACUAGUCCAUUACAUCGAAUUUUGAGCAAACAACAGUAAAGUAUCAUUUACUACGUAGUUGAGCGAGUACUUUUUAAAUGUAUGAAUUGUUUGUCAUUGCACAUGGUAGUUUUUAUCUCCGUGUCUAAAUAGAAACUUAAACAGCGUGUCGUCUCAGCUCCACACAAACCCCUCACAAAAUCAAACUAAACUGUAGUUAAUAAAACACAAUGUGCAAAUUGGUUAUUAUUUAGCUUGUGAAGUUCUCGAGGGACCAUCUUUAAAAAAAAGAUGUAAUCCCACCAAUUUCACGUUCAAGAUUGCCUGUAUCAUAUUGAGACGUGUUCUAAUACUUUAAAAGAAAUAUGUUCCAUUAUACUAAUGAAAUUGCUACUUAAAUUUAUAUAGCAAAAUACUACACACACAUGUAGCUUAAUCUAAAAUACAUAAAACUUGUAGCCAGAAAAUGUAUAUAACGUUUUGUUAAUGUAUAUCAAAUACCGCUGUUUUCCAACAAAGGCUAACUCAAACGCACCCUUCAAUCACUCUUUUAGCUAAGAUAAGUUAGAACCGUAUCGUAUCCACAUAAUCAUUAAAGAAUAUAAUGCAAGAGAAAAAUUGUCGCAAUAAAGUAUUUCUAUUAAACCAUAAUUUACUUCCUGUUCUCUCGAGGAAAGAAAUAUAAAUCCACAAACGAAGUAUUAAGCUUUGCUAGCGAUUUCUUGUGCGUAAAUAAAUCAUUUACUAGUUUUCCUUUCUAUGAAAGGUACAAAUUACUAUUGAAAGACAGGAUAAAAGCAAAGUUAAAACUUCCAAAUCUUGAUUUAAUAGCUAGUUAGUAUUAUCAUUACUUUUUGUUCUGUUGUAUUAUUUAGUUAAGAUAAUAGUGUGAAAUCCAACUUUAUAAUAGUUUUUAUUGCGUCAUAGCAAUUUUUAUUAUGCUAUAAUUGUAAAAUUCUUAAGAAAAUAAAAGUGUUUACGUUU